AAUAGGACGUAUGGAUGGAUGGAUGGAUGGAUGGAUAGGAUGGAUGGAUGGAUGGAUGGAUAGGACGGAUGGAUGGAUGGAUGGAUAGGACGGAUGGAUGGAUGGAUGGAUGAAUAGGACGGGUGGAUGGAUGGAUGGAUGGAUAGGACGGAUGGAUAGAUGGAUGGAUGGAUAGGAUGGAUGGACAGAUGGAUGGAUGGAUGGAUGAAUAGAUGGAUGGACAGAUGGAUGGAUGGAUGGAUGGAUGGAUAGAUGGAUGGGUGGGUGGAUAAAUAGGACGGAUGGAUGGAUGGAUGGAUGGAUGAAUAGGAUGGAUGGACAGAUGGAUGGAUGGAUGGAUGAAUAGAUGGAUGGACAGAUGGAUGGAUGGAUGGAUGGAUGGAUGAAUACGAUGGAUGGAUGGAUGGAUGGAUGAAUAGGAUGGAUGGAUGGAUGGAUGGAUGGCUGGAUGGCUGGCUGGAUGGCUGGAUGGAUGAAUAGGAUGGGUGGAUGGAUGGAUGGAUAGGACGGGUGGAUGGAUGGAAAGGAUGGAUAGGACGGAUGGAUGGAUGGAUGGAUGAAUAGAUGGAUGGACAGAUGGAUGGAUGGAUGGAUGGAUGGAUAGAUGGAUGGUGGAUGGAUGAAUAGGAUGGAUGGAAUGGAUGGAUAGAUGGAAUGGAUGAAUAGAUGGAUGACAGAUGGAUGGAUGGAUGGAUGAAUAGAUGGUGGACAGAUGGAUGGAUGGAUGGAUGGAUGGUGGAUAAAUACGAUGGAUGGAUGGAUGAAUAGGACGGAUGGAAUGGAUGGUGGAUGGAUAGGACGGAUGGAUGGAUGGAUGGAUGAAUAGAUGGAUGGAUGGAUGGAUGGAUGGAUAGGACGGAUGGAUGGAUGGAUGGAUGAAUAGGACGGGUGGAUGGAUGGAUGGUGGAUGGAUAGGAUGGAUGGAUGGAUGGAUGGAUGGAUAGGAUGGAUGGACAGAUGGAUGGAUGGAUGGAUGAAUAGACGGAUGGACAGAUGGAUGGAUGGAUGGAUAGAUGGAUGGAUAGAUAGAUAGAUAGAUAGAUAGAUAGAUAGAUGUUAUUCUUGUAGCUGCUCUCUUUCCUCAGCAUAAAGAAAGUGCUCGAUACAUUUCUUUUUGCAUGAAUUAAUGGAAAAUGGAAAGAGAUGAGGGACUUGGGGUUUCUUGGAUGACCAAGGAUUCUCCUGCUGUAGAAGGAGCCUAACAGCACAUAAAGAACAUAAAUUUUCUAGUUGAAGAACCGGGUGGGAAUCUCAAUUUUACCACUUACUAGUUGCACAACGUUGGGCAAGUCACAACCUCUUUGAACUGGAGCCUCAUCACAAACAAAAUAAC
rnacentral:lncRNA from 1 species